GAUGAACGCUGGCGGCGUGCCUAAUACAUGCAAGUCGAGCGAACGGACGAGAAGCUUGCUUCUCUGAUGUUAGCGGCGGACGGGUGAGUAACACGUGGAUAACCUACCUAUAAGACUGGGAUAACUUCGGGAAACCGGAGCUAAUACCGGAUAAUAUUUUGAACCGCAUGGUUCAAAAGUGAAAGACGGUCUUGCUGUCACUUAUAGAUGGAUCCGCGCUGCAUUAGCUAGUUGGUAAGGUAACGGCUUACCAAGGCAACGAUGCAUAGCCGUCCUGAGAGGGUGAUCGGCCACACUGGAACUGAGACACGGUCCAGACUCCUACGGGAGGCAGCAGUAGGGAAUCUUCCGCAAUGGGCGAAAGCCUGACGGAGCAACGCCGCGUGAGUGAUGAAGGUCUUCGGAUCGUAAAACUCUGUUAUUAGGGAGGAACAUAUGUGUAAGUAACUGUGCACAUCUUGACGGUACCUAAUCAGAAAGCCACGGCUAACUACGUG
rnacentral:rRNA from 1 species